CGCCCUUAGAGUUUGAUCCUGGCUCAGGAUGAACGCUAGCGACAGGCCUAACACAUGCAAGUCGAGGGGUAAGUGUAGCAAUACAUUACGACCGGCGCACGGGUGAGUAACACGUAUGCAACCUACCUAUUACAGGGGGAUAGCCCGUUGAAAGACGGAUUAAUACCGCAUAAUACAUUUUUCGCAUGAGAAGAUGUUAAAGAUUUAUUGGUAAUAGAUGGGCAUGCGUUUCAUUAGCUAGUUGGUAAGGUAACGGCUUACCAAGGCAACGAUGAAUAGGGGAACUGAGAGGUUUAUCCCCCACACUGGUACUGAGACACGGACCAGACUCCUACGGGAGGCAGCAGUGAGGAAUAUUGGUCAAUGGACGAGAGUCUGAACCAGCCAAGUCGCGUGAAGGAUGACUGCCCUCGGGUUGUAAACUUCUUUUGUACUAGAGUAAAGUGUGGGACGUGUCCUAUAUUGCAAGUAUAGUACGAAUAAGCAUCGGCUAACUCCGUGCCAGCAGCCGCGGUAAUACGGAGGAUGCGAGCGUUAUCCGGAUUUAUGGGUUUAAAGGGUGCGUAGGCGGAAGCUUAAGUCAGGGUUGAAAGUUUGGGGCUCAACCUUAAAAUG
rnacentral:rRNA from 1 species